CACGCAGGCGGUCCUGUCAGUCAGAUGUGAAAGCCCGGGGCUCAACCCCGGAUGUGCAUUUGAAACAGCAGGACUUGAGUAUGGGAGAGGAAAGGGGAAUUCCUGGUGUAGAGGUGAAAUUCGUAGGUAUCAGGAGGAACACCGGUGGCGAAGGCGCCUUUCUGGACCAAUACUGACGCUGAGGUGCGAAGGCGUGGGUAGCGAACAGGACUAGAUACCCUGGUAGUCC
rnacentral:rRNA from 1 species